AGUAACGCGUGGGUAACCUGCCCUGUACUGGGGGACAACAGUUAGAAAUGACUGCUAAUACCGCAUAAGCCUACGGAGUCGCAUGACUCAGCAGGAAAAAUUCUGGUGGUACAGGAUGGGCCCGCGUCUGAUUAGCUAGUUGGUGAGGUAAUGGCUCACCAAGGCGACGAUCAGUAGCCGGCUUGAGAGAGUGAACGGCCACAUUGGGACUGAGACACGGCCCAA
rnacentral:rRNA from 1 species